rnacentral:lncRNA from 1 species
CUUCAAUUUCUUUCAGCAAUGUUUUAUAGUUUUCAGUGUACAAAUCUUAUACUUCUUUUGUUAAAUUCAUACCUAGGUAUUUAUACUAUUGUACACAGAAUUGUUUUCUUAAUUUCAUUUCAGAUUUUUCAUUACAAGUGUAUAGAAAUACAACUAAUUUUUUUAUAUUGACUUUAUAUCCUGCAACCUUACUGAACUUUUUUUAUUAACCUUAAUAGUUUUGCGUGUGUGUGUGUUAUUUCGUAGGAUUUUCUAUAUACAAGAUCAUGUCAUAAUCUGCAAAUAAAUAGGUUUACUUCUUUUUUACAAUUUGGAUACCUUUUAUUUCAUUUUCUUGCAUAAUUUCCCUGGCUUAAACUUCCAGUACAAUGUUGAAUAGAAGUGGUGGUGAGAGUAGACAUCCUUAUUUUGUUUCUGAUCUUAGGAGAAGGGAUUUGGUCUUUCACUACUAAGCGUGAUGUUAGCUGUGGGUUUUUCAUAUGUACCCUUUAUCAGGUUGAGGAAGUUCCCUUCUAUUUCUAGUUUAUCUCAUGUUUUUAUCAUGGAAGGGUGUGGGAUUUUUGUUAAAUGCUAUUUCUGCAUCUAUUAAGGUGAUCAAGUAGAUUUUUUUCCUUUGUUCUAUUAAUAAGGUGUAUUACAUUGAUUAGUUUUCAUACGAUGAACCAACCUUGAAUUCCUGGGAUAAGUCCCACUGGGUCAUUGUAGAUAAUCCUUUUAAAAUGCUGCCAGAUUAGAUCUGCUAGUAUUUUGUUGAAGAUUUUUGUGACUAUAUUCAUUAAAAGAUAUUGGUCUGUAGUUUUCUUUUGUUGUGAUGCCUUUGUCUGGUUUUGCUCUCAGGGCAAUAUUAUCCUUAUAGAAUGGGCUAGGAAGUGUUCUCUAUUCUUCUAUUUUUUAGAAGAUUUUGCAAAGGAUUGGUGUUAUUUCUUCUUUAAACAUUUGGGAGAAUUCACCAGUGAAACCAUCCGGGCCUAGGCUUUUCUUUGUGUAUAGUUUUGUUGUUGCUGUUG